UUGUUGUCUCACUUUCUAGUAGAUGUCCCUUUUCUCAUAAUUUGGGAGGCAUCUUCUGCUGGCACUAAUUGGCUGAGAUGUGGGACAGGUUGCAUUUGAACAAUGAACAAUGAUGAUGCUAAAAGUCUGUAAUCAACACGAGCUUCAGCUACUCUCAUUACUAGCUCUUGAAGGGAUUCUUCAGACUCAGCAAGAACAAGACGAUCAUCAGAUUACAGCAUCUGCUUCCUCCAAUUUCAGAUUUCCCCCUGUAGCCAACAACAAGGAUGCACAUUUGCAUUUGAGUGUGCAGACUGAAAGGACACACGGCAGGCAGUACAGGGGCCACAAAUGCUACUAUGGUCUUCAGAUGGGCACCAGAUGCUCUGAUUCUUACUGGGUUUGA
rnacentral:lncRNA from 1 species